GAUGAACGCUGGCGGCGUGCCUAAUACAUGCAAGUCGAGCGAACAGACGCGGAUCUUGCUCCUCUGACGUUAGCGGCGGACGGGUGUGUAACACGUGGAUCACCUCCCUAUCAUUCUGGUAUAACUUCGGGAAUCCGGCGCUAAUCCCGGAUAAUAUCUUGCACCGCAUGGUUCAUUAGUGAAAUACGGUUUUGCUGUCACUUCUAGCUGCAUCCGCGCCGCAUUAGCUAGUUGUUACGGUAACGGCUUACCAAGGCUACCAUGCGUAAACGACCUGAGAGGGUGGUAGGCGACACGGGAGGUGAGACGGGGUCAAGAGGACUGAGAGAGGCAGCAGAAGGGAAUGGUCCGCAGUGGGCGAAAGCAUGACGGAGCAACGGCACGUGAGUGAUGAAGGUCUUGGGAUCGGAAAAAUCUGUUAUGAGGGAAGAACAAAUGUGGAAGGAACUAUGCACGGAUUGACGGUAACUAGUCAGAAAGCCACGGCUAACUACGUG
rnacentral:rRNA from 1 species